CCCUUAGACGUUCUGGGCCGCACGCGCGCUACACUGACCAGUGCAACAAGCAUCCGUCCUUGGCCGCCCGGCCCGGGCAAUCUUUGAACGCUGGUCGUGAUGGGGAUAGACUUUUGCAAUUUUUGGUCUUCAACGAGGAAUUCCUAGUAAACGCAAGUCAUCAACUUGCAUUGAUUACGUCCCUGCCCUUUGUACACACCGCCCGUCGCACCUACCGAUUGAAUGGUCCGGUGAAGCCUCCGGAUUGGCGCGCACCUCGGUGCCGCCGAGAAGUUGGCUAAACCUUACCAUUUAGAGGAAGGUGAAGUCGUAACA
rnacentral:rRNA from 1 species